ensembl:snRNA U4 U4 spliceosomal RNA
AGCUUUGUGCAGUCGCAGUAUCGUAGCCAAUGAGGUUUAUCUGAGGCGUGAUUAUUGCUAAUUAAAAUUUUCCCAAUACGCUGCUGUGACAACUUGUAAUAUAGUCGGCAUUGGCCACUUUUGACAGUCUCUACAGAGA